UCCGGUCGAUCUGCUGGCCGCUCCCCUCCGGGGCUCUCCAGAGAUGGUGUAGACGAUCCCAAUUGGAGGCUGAUUUCCAAGUUGUUCCUCCCUCCUUGGUGGCCCCGGUCGUGGCAGGGGCCUCGGCCGAUUCUCCCCACCUUCAGGCUGACGUCGGAUGAAUCUAUCGAUCACUGUUGUCGGAGGGGGAGGAGGAGCCUGUGAAAUCAGAGGCGAGGCUGGAGCUUGAGAUCUAGCCACGGGGGCCAU
rnacentral:lncRNA from 1 species